rnacentral:rRNA from 1 species
GAUGAACGCUGGCGGCGUGCCUAAUACAUGCAAGUCGAGCGAACAGACGAGGAGCUUGCUCCUCUGACGUUAGCGGCGGACGGGUGAGUAACACGUGGAUAACCUACCUAUAAGACUGGGAUAACUUCGGGAAACCGGAGCUAAUACCGGAUAAUAUAUUGAACCGCAUGGUUCAAUAGUGAAAGACGGUUUUGCUGUCACUUAUAGAUGGAUCCGCGCCGCAUUAGCUAGUUGGUAAGGUAACGGCUUACCAAGGCAACGAUGCGUAGCCGACCUGAGAGGGUGAUCGGCCACAAUGGAACUGAGACACGGUCCAGACUCCUACGGGAGGCAGCAGUAGGGAAUCUUCCGCAAUGGGCGAAAGCCUGACGGAGCAACGCCGCGUGAGUGAUGAAGGUAUUCGGAUCGUAAAACUCUGUUAUUAGGGAAGAACAAAUGUGUAAGUAACUAUGCACGUCUUGACGGUACCUAAUCAGAAAGCCACGGCUAACUACGUG